UACGUAGGGGGCAAGGGUUGUCCGGAUUUAUUGGGCGUAAAGAGCGUGUAGGCGGCCACACAGGUCAGCUGUGAAAACUCGAGGCUCAACCUCGAGACGUCGGUUGAAACCGUAUGGCUAGAGUCCGGAAGAGGAGAGUGGAAUUCCCGGUGUAGCGGUGAAAUGCGCAGAUAUCGGGAAGAACACCCGUGGCGAAGGCGGCUCUCUGGGACGGUACUGACGCUGAGACGCGAAAGCGUGGGGAGCGAACAGG
rnacentral:rRNA from 1 species